rfam:Vitis vinifera, whole genome shotgun sequence of line PN40024, unoriented chromosome 7, chr7
CAUUGAAAUGAUGAUAUCGAAUGCGGAAACCAUGAUGUCGACUUAAUAAAUCAGACUACAAUUAUCUGAUCGAUG